rnacentral:rRNA from 1 species
AUUGAACGCUGGCGGCGUGCUUAACACAUGCAAGUCGAGCGGUAAGGCCCUUUCGGGGGUACACGAGCGGCGAACGGGUGAGUAACACGUGGGUGACCUGCCCUCAGCUCUGGGAUAAGCCUGGGAAACCGGGUCUAAUACUGGAUAUGACUCCAUGACGCAUGUUGUGGGGUGAAAAGCCUUGUGCGGCUGAGGAUGGGCCCGCGGCCUAUCAGCUUGUUGGUGGGGUGAUGGCCUACCAAGGCGACGACGGGUAGCCGGCCUGAGAGGGCGACCGGCCACACUGGGACUGAGACACGGCCCAGACUCCUACGGGAGGCAGCAGUGGGGAAUCUUGCGCAAUGGGCGAAAGCCUGACGCAGCGACGCCGCGUGAGGGAUGACGGCCU